UCACUUUUGCUUUACUUUUUCAAUUGUUUCUUGUACUUUGCAUUUGUCUACUUAUUGUAGUGCCAGCUGAAUUCAGAAAUACUGAUGAGUGAUUAUUUACUUUAUGUAUUGAUGGGCUGCUUGCAUUUUAUUUAGGGAAUAGAGGCUGCAAGGUAGCUGGAAUCUGAAGAAGGACAUAUGAGACUUUCAAAAGCUUCUACGGUCUUUGAUCCCUAGGAUCCAAAAGCCUUGGUCAAGACUCAUUCAUGUCUGUUCCCAAUGAGGAAAACUUGUUGUCACAUUCCCAGGUGUGCUCUUUAA